AACGAACGCUGGCGGCAUGCCUUACACAUGCAAGUCGAACGGCAGCACGGGAGCAAUCCUGGUGGCGAGUGGCGAACGGGUGAGUAAUAUAUCGGAACGUGCCCAGUCGUGGGGGAUAACGUAGCGAAAGCUACGCUAAUACCGCAUACGAUCUAUGGAUGAAAGCGGGGGGAUCGCAAGACCUCGCGCGAUUGGAGCGGCCGAUAUCAGAUUAGGUAGUUGGUGAGGUAAAGGCUCACCAAGCCGACGAUCUGUAGCUGGUCUGAGAGGACGACCAGCCACACUGGGACUGAGACACGGCCCAGACUCCUACGGGAGGCAGCAGUGGGGAAUUUUGGACAAUGGGCGCAAGCCUGAUCCAGCAAUGCCGCGUGCAGGAUGAAGGCCU
rnacentral:rRNA from 1 species